UGGGGAAUUUUGGACAAUGGGCGAAAGCCUGAUCCAGCAAUGCCGCGUGUGUGAAGAAGGCCUUCGGGUUGUAAAGCACUUUUGUCCGGAAAGAAAUCCUUGGCUCUAAUACAGUCGGGGGAUGACGGUACCGGAAGAAUAAGCACCGGCUAACUACGUGCCAGCAGCCGCGGUAAUACGUAGGGUGCAAGCGUUAAUCGGAAUUACUGGGCGUAAAGCGUGCGCAGGCGGUUUGCUAAGACCGAUGUGAAAUCCCCGGGCUCAACCUGGGAACUGCAUUGGUGACUGGCAGGCUAGAGUAUGGCAGAGGGGGGUAGAAUUCCACGUGUAGCAGUGAAAUGCGUAGAGAUGUGGAGGAAUACCGAUGGCGAAGGCAGCCCCCUGGGCCAAUACUGACGCUCAUGCACGAAAGCGUGGGGAGCAAACAGGAUUAGAUACCCUGGUAGUCCACGCCCUAAACGAUGUCAACUAGUUGUUGGGGGAUUCAUUUCCUUAGUAACGUAGCUAACGCGUGAAGUUGACCGCCUGGGGAGUACGGUCGCAAGAUUAAAACUCAAAGGAAUUGACGGGGUCAUAGCUGUUUCC
rnacentral:rRNA from 1 species